rnacentral:tRNA from 1 species
AGCAGCGUGGCCUAAUGGUUAGAGCACAGGCCUGAGAGUCAGAAGGAUCUGGGUUCAAAUUCCAGCUCUGCCA